rnacentral:ncRNA from 1 species
GUAUUCCGAGGACUCACCUGUGUGAAAACCAGGGUCGCAAAGCUACGGGCCUGCCGCGCAAUCGCUGCGUAACGGUCGCCGGGCUGCAAAC